rnacentral:tRNA from 1 species
GACCGUGUACCCGAGUGGUCCAGGGACUCGCCUGCAAAGCGAGCAACGUCGGUUCGAAUCCGAUCACGGUCUCCA